GACCCGCCAAGAUCCGGGUUAGCAUUGAUCAUAGCAGCCGAUGCUUGUAAGAAGCGAAUAAUGGGAUCGGGUGGUCAGGCUCACUGACUUAGUUGACAC